CAACUCUUACUCACAGGAUGGCAAUGGUUAUAUCAGUGCAGCAGAACUACGUCAUGUUAUGACAAACUUAGGAGAAAAGCUAACAGAUGAAGAAGUAGAUGAAAUGAUCAGAGAAGCAGACAUUGAUGGGGAUGGGCAAGUCAACUAUGAAGAAUUCGUACAGAUGAUGACUGCAAAGUGAAGAGACCUCCUUUACACCUUUUUUCCUCUAGAAGAAUCAAAUUGAAUCUUUUACUUACCUCUUGCAAAAAAAAAUGUUCAUUUAUUCAUUCUGUUUCUGUAUAGCAAAACUGAAUGUCAAAAUACCUUCUGUCCACAAACUGCAUGUAAUGGUUGGUGGUCCUGUCCCCAAAAGAUAAACAUCAGUUUUACAAUAUAAAUAAUUGUACUACCUUGAAAAAUAAAAAAAAAAGGAAGCACUUAGUGAACUCAAAAGUUCCAUUUGCUAAUGACUAUUACACUGUUUGGGCUGGCCAGUUUUUCAUGCAUGCAGCUUGACAAUUGAGCACAGUCAGACAUUUGUAUUAAAAGGAAAAAAAAAACAACCUAAAGGAUCCACUCUUUUGUUCAACAGUGGAUUCUAGUUCAAUUUGUAGUAUAAAUUGUCAUAGCUGGUUUACUUUAAAAUUGGUUUAUACCUCAGGAUGGUAUGCAGCAAAAUGGUUGAAGGAUGCAAAACUUAGAGAAAAUGCCCUAAAGGUUGAAUGGUUCUCCUGUACGUAGCAGUGUGCUCCAAAAAUACGGUGAUCUUAACUGUGGAUGGCAUAUCUGUGUUAAAAUACUGGUUUAACAUUGUCUGCAUUGCACUAUAGUGAAACGGGUGUCGGGCUGUUACCGUUCACAAAAUUUUUAAAAGAAACCUUCACCAAGGGAGCAUCUUUGGACUCUCAUAUUUUUAAAACCUUCUGUACCAUGACUUGGAGCUGGCGGAGUAGCCUGUGGACUUCAGCACAACUAUCAACAUUGCUGUUCAAGAUACUACAAUUAAUGUCCAUUCCAAGUUGUAAAUGCUAGUCUUUUUUUCCAAUAAAAGACCAUUAACUUAAAGGUGGUGUUAAAUGCUUUGUAAAGCUAAAAUAUAUAUAUAAUUGAGAUAAUAAACCAAAAAAGCAGUAGGAGGGAAGUGUUUCUAUGAAUGACUUGCUGCUAAAUUAUAAUGCACAUGUAUGCAAUAAGUUAUCCCCUAUCUUUUCAAGAUGGCAAGAACUGACCUCCUGUAACCCAAGACCUUUGCUAUAAAUAAAUGAACUCGUGCUUGCCUUUCA